rnacentral:rRNA from 1 species
GACGAACGCUGGCGGCGUGCUUAACACAUGCAAGUCGAACGAGUGGCGAACGGGUGAGUAAUACGUGAGUAACCUGCCCUCUUUUUGGGAUAAGCCUUGGAAACGGGGUCUAAUACCGGAUAAAGGGGGAUGGGCUCGCGGCAUUUCAGCUUGUUGGUGGGGUGAUGGCCUACCAAUGCGGUGUCGGGUUGCCGGCCUGAGAGGGGGAACGGCAACAAUGGGACGGUGCGACGGCCGAGACUCGUACGGGAGGCAGCAGUGGGGGAUAUUGGACAAGGGGAGAAAGCCUGAUGCAGCGACGCGGCGUGGGGGAUGAUGGCUUUCGAGUUGUAAACCUCUGUCGCUAUCGAGCGGGUAGGUGGAGAAGAAGCGCCGGCUAACUACGUGCCAGCAGCCGCGGUAAUUC